GUCUAAAGAAGACAUACCAAUGGCCAACAGGCACAUGAAAAGGUGCUCCUCAUCGUUAAUCCUCAGGGUAAUGCAAAUCAGAGCCACAAUGAGAUAUCACCUCACGCAACUUGGAAUGGCUAUCAUCAAAAAGUCGAGAGACAACAGGUGCUGGAGACGAUGUGAUAAAAGGGACUCUUAGAGACUGUUGGUGGAAAUGUAAGCUGGUCCAAUCACUAUGGAAAACAACAUGAAAAUUCCUCAAAAAAUUAAAAAUAGAUCUACCAUAGUAUCCAGCAAUUCACUUCUGGAUAUAUAUGCAAAGGAAAUGAAAACAUAAUUUUGACAAGAUAACUGUACUCUCGUGUUUAUGGCAGCAUAUUCACAAUGGCCAAGAUAUGGAAGCAACCCAAAUGCCCAUCAUUGGGUGAAUGGAUUUUAAAAAUAUUGUAUAUGUACACAAGGAAUAUUAUUCAGUCAUGAUAAAGAAAGAUAUCCUGCUGUCUACUUAUGACAAUAUGGAUGGACCUUGAGCACAUUAUGCUAAGCAAGAUAGGUCAGACAGAAGAAGACAAUUAUUGUAUGAUAUCACAUAUGUGUAGAAUCCUUAAAAAAAGUCAAAGCUGUAAAAAAAAAAAACAAC